rnacentral:rRNA from 1 species
GACGAACGCUGGCGGCGUGCUUAACACAUGCAAGUCGAACGGAAAGGCCCUUCGGGGUACUCGAGUGGCGAACGGGUGAGUAACACGUGGGUGAUCUGCCCUGCACUUUGGGAUAAGCCUGGGAAACUGGGUCUAAUACCGGAUAGGACUACGCGAUGCAUGUCGUGUGGUGGAAAGCUUUUGCGGUGUGGGAUGGGCCCGCGGCCUAUCAGCUUGUUGGUGAGGUUAUGGCUUACCAAGGCGACGACGGGUAGCCGGCCUGAGAGGGUGACCGGCCACACUGGGACUGAGAUACGGCCCAGACUCCUACGGGAGGCAGCAGUGGGGAAUAUUGCACAAUGGGCGCAAGCCUGAUGCAGCGACGCCGCGUGAGGGAUGACGGCCUUCGGGUUGUAAACCUCUUUCAGUAGGGACGAAGCGCAAGUGACGGUACCUAUAGAAGAAGGACCGGCCAACUACGUGCCAGCAGCCGCGGUAA